rnacentral:rRNA from 1 species
GAUGAACGCUAGCGGCAGGCCUAAUACAUGCAAGUCGGACGGGAUUCAGGAGCUUGCUUCUGAUGAGAGUGGCGCACGGGUGCGUAACACGUAUGUAACCUACCUUUAUCAGGGGGAUAGCCUCUCGAAAGAGAGAUUAAGCCCGCAUAAAAUCACAGCACUGCAUUGUGUAAUGAUCAAAUAUUUAUAGGAUAAAGAUGGGCAUGCGGAACAUUAGCUAGAUGGCGGGGUAACGGCCCACCAUGGCGACGAUGUUUAGGGGAUCUGAGAGGAUGGCCCCCCACACUGGUACUGAGACACGGACCAGACUCCUACGGGAGGCAGCAGUAAGGAAUAUUGGUCAAUGGGCGGAAGCCUGAACCAGCCAUGCCGCGUGCAGGAAGACGGCCCUACGGGUUGUAAACUGCUUUUAUACGGGAAUAAACCCAGAUACGUGUAUCUGGCUGAAUGUACUGUAAGAAUAAGGAUCGGCUAACUCCGUG